GGGAGGCAGCAGUGAGGAAUAUUGGUCAAUGGGCGAAAGCCUGAACCAGCCAUGCCGCGUGAAGGAUGAAGGCCUUCUGGGUUGUAAACUUCUUUUAUCUGGGAAGAAAAACAUUGUUUCCACGAUGUCCGACGGUACCAGAGGAAUAAGCACCGGCUAACUCCGUGCCAGCAGCCGCGGUAAUACAGAGGGUGCAAGCGUUAUCCGGAUUUACUGGGUUUAAAGGGUGUGUAGGCGGGCUUUUAAGUCAGUGGUGAAAUCUCCGGGCUCAACCUGGAAACUGCCAUUGAUACUAUUAGUCUUGAAUUUUGUUGAGGUAGGCGGAAUAAGUCAUGUAGCGGUGAAAUGCAUAGAUAUGACUUAGAACACCAAUUGCGAAGGCAGCUUGCUAAACAAAUAUUGACGCUGAGGCACGAAAGCGUGGGGAUCAAACAGGAUUAGAUACCCCGGUAGU
rnacentral:rRNA from 1 species